UACGGAGGGGACUAGCGUUGUUCGGAAUUACUGGGCGUAAAGCGCACGUAGGCGGAUUGUUUAGUCAGGGGUGAAAUCCCGAGGCUCAACCUCGGAACUGCCUUUGAUACUGGCAAUCUCGAGUCCGGAAGAGGUGAGUGGAAUUCCUAGUGUAGAGGUGAAAUUCGUAGAUAUUCGGAGGAACACCAGUGGCGAAGGCGGCUCACUGGCUCGGUACUGACGCUGAGGUGCGAAAGCGUGGGGAGCAAACAGG
rnacentral:rRNA from 1 species